CUGUGGCAAAUGUAUACACAGCCUUAGAAAGACUCCUCUUCUGUAAAGCGUGCAGUAAAUAGGUAGGUACUGGUAAGAUAAUUUAAGAAGUCAUGAUAGUUUAAAGAGGGAAUAUAGCAAACAAUAAUACAUAUUUUUGAAACAUUUUGUUUACAUUUUAAAAAUUGUAUGAAUGUUCAUUUUGUCAAUAUUUUUAUUGCCAAGGUUUUGUCACUGAAUAUCAUCCCUCCUCAACUGGAGUAUCUGUUUUCUUUCUCCCCUAAACAAUGUAAAGGUCAGAAUGCUAGGAGACAAGUGAUUCUGAUUAAGAAAGUUGAGCAAAGUUUUAAAAGGCUGCAGAUUAUAUUACCAUUCCCGGUGAGCAGCAGUCCCCUUUCCUGUAAGGGAAUUACACAUCCACCAUCCUCUCACCGAUACACACCCUCCAACCACAACCCAGAGUUCUGUCCCUCAAGAGGCCUUCUUUUGGGAGAAGCACGUUUGGCAGCUUGCACUACACCCUGACACACUCAUGACAUGGGACAGGAGAUGUCAGAGCUGAAUGAAAGCUUUUUUUUUUUUUUUUUUUUUUCCAGACGGAGUCUCGCUCUGUGUCCCAGGCUGGAGUGCAGUGGCGCGAUCUCGGCUCACUGCAAGCUCCGCCUCCCGGGUUCACGCCAUUCUCCUGCCUCAGCCUCCCGAGUACGCGGGACCACAGGCGCCUGCCAUCAUGCCCGGCUAAUUUUUUUUUGUUUGUUUUUGUUUUUUUGUAUUGUUAGUAGAGACGGGGUUUCACCAUGUUAGCCAGGAUGGUCUUGAUGUCCUGACCUCGUGACCCGCCCGCCUCGGCCUCCCAAAGUGCGAAUGAAAGCUUUAAGAGGGCUGCUUGUUUCUGGCAGCUCUCAGGUUCUUCCUGUCUGCCUCAGAAGUGGCAUAUUCCACAUACGGGCUGCAUCUUCAGUCUGGACUCAUCCUCUUCAAGAUGAGACAGGUGGAGCAGAGCUGCCACCAACCUCCGGUGAUUUCCACACAAUGUGUCCUAGAAGAAGAGACCCUACACUGGGCUUGUGACCAGCGGAAACUGAAUCAAUGCUGGAGACACAUUCUAACAGUCGAAUGGGCAGCUCACAGGAGCACAGAAGGCCCCCAGUCACUCAAGAACUUCUCACCUCCUAGAAGAUGUCGUGAAUUGUGAUUGAUGAUUCCUCCAGGAAGCACCAGUACCCUGAAACAACUUGCUUUCCAAAAUGCCUGUAAAGCAUUCACUUACAAGUACAGUCAUGCACCACUUAAUGACAGGGAUAGUUUCUGAGAAGGGUGUCCUUAGGCAAUUUCCUAAUUGUGCAAACAUCAUAGGGUGCACUUCCACAAACCUGGAUGGUGUAGGCUACUACACACCUAGGCUACAUGAAAUGGCCUGUUUCUCUUAGGCUGCAAACUUGUAUAACAUGUUACUGUACUGAAUACUGCAGGCAAUUGUAACACAGUGGUGUUUAUGUAUCUAAAAAUAGGUAAAUAUAGGUAAGGUACAGUAAAAAUAUGUUGUAAGAGAUUAAAAAAAAAAAAGAAACAACCCAGAACAUCUGUAUAGGGCACUUAUGAUAAAUGGAGUUGGAGAACUGAAAGUUGCUCUGGGUGAAUCAGUG
rnacentral:lncRNA from 1 species